GUGAAGUUUUAUUUUAUCUGCCAGGCUGUUAUGAAAAGUGUACUUUGGCUUCUGGUACUCCCUUCUUCCAGGAAUGAACAAGUUAUGUGCAUUCAGUUUUUGUGGAGCUGACCAUUUCCCUUUGAAAACGGCCCAGUCCAUUUAUUUUAGCACUUGAUUUGGGGACGGGUGUUAAAUUCUGUUGCUGGCAUUGCGCCAAGACACUAGAACGGCAGAGGCCGCGGGGCUGGAGGCUGCAGGGGUGACUCCCCUGCCGGAUCUGGCCAAGCCCCCUGCCAGUCCAGGCCGUUUACCUUCCAGUCACACCAAGAACUAAAACAGCAUCAGCCAAAGCUUUUGAAAAAACCCAAACUGGACAGAGAGUUGCUGAAUUUUUAUAAUGACAGAGGCUUCCAGGAGGAGUGACACGUAUCCCUGCUGGAUGAGCUCACAGUUCCAGUAGGAAGACACAAGCUGAAGGAUUGCAGCAGGAAUGGCUGGAGUGCCAUGGUGUCAUCUCAGCUCACUGCAACCUCUACCCUUUGGUUUCAAGCUAUUCUCCUGGCUCAGCCUCUCAAGUAGCUGGGAUUACAGAUGUUUGCCACCGUGCCCAGGUAAUUUUUGUAUUUUUAGUGGAGACAGGGUUUCACCAUGUUGGCCAGACUGGUCUUAAACUCCUGACCUCGUGAUCCGCCUGCCUCAGACUCCCAAAGUGCUGGGAUUACAGGCAUGAGCCACAGUGGCCAGCAAACUUCUUAUGUCUCCUGUUAAACCUGCCCCAAUCUGGCUUCCAUUUCUGCUUCUCCCCUGAAGCUGUUCUGGUCAAAAUUAUCCACCUCUCCUGUUGUUAAAUCCUAAAACACUUGCCUGUGCUCAACUUACUCAACCUAGCAGCAUUAUUCAGUGCAGCAGAUCACUCCCUCCUUGUAAACACAUUCAUGUUACCUCUGUAAAAUCAGAGUCCACUCUUUCUUCUCUAAGACUACCUGCCUGCCUCAUCUUGGUCAUCUUUUUGAUUCUUCUUUGAUACCUUUAUGAUCACCAGAUAGUAGGAUGCACCAAGGCUUAAUCCUGGACUUUCUAUUGCUUGACAACUACCUUUCCCUACAUUAUCAUUCAGAGCAAGGUGUUAGGGAUUCUUUGCCUGCUCAUAUCCUUACAUUUUAAUGCAGCACAAAUUAUGAAUACUUCCCUGGGCUAUAAAUUCACGUAUCCAGUUGCCUACCUGACAUCUCUACUUCAGUGUAGAGAUGGUCCUGUCCAGACAGAACUCCAUUUCCAACUUCCACAUGUUCCUAAAAGUAGUUGGAAAAAAUCUUUUUAAUUCUUUAUUAGAGUUAAGAGUAUAAUUAGAGUUAACAGUGUUUCUUUUUUACUUUAAAUCCUGCAGGUUUAGCCUUUUUAAAAAUCGGUUCCAAUUAGGUCUUAAGCACAGCUUGUGUGGGUCUCUCUAACAGCAGCUCCAGGCUCUUCAUCUUUCUUCACUCACUCACUCACUCACUCACUCACUCACUCACUCACUCACUCACCUCUUUCUGGAAUGAAGGAGGCUAGCUAGAGAGAGGAGGGAAUGCCUACACCUGUUAAUCUGAAUGUUUCCAUUCCAACUAUCACGAUACUAUAGUAUAUUAUACUAUGAGCUCUCUGCUUCUUUUGGCAUGUGUGUGUUGUGUUACUUCUGAUAUAAAGCACACCUGUUGCUUUCUUUUCUUAUCUGAUAUUUUGCAUUAUUAUUAUCUAGAAUCUAGUCUCUGAAUGGUGGGGGUGGGGUUAUAAUCAGAGGGAGGAGAGUACAAGGACAAUGGGAUUAUUUCCUGAUCAGAUAUCCUUAACUGACAUUAAAUAAUUCUGUGACUUCUGAUUUCAGAAACACAAAGCAUCUAUUAGAUUCAUGUUUUCCAAAUUUGCUAAGUGCCUACUAGAUACCAGGUACUAGACAUGCUUGAUUUUAUCAAGAAAUAAUUAAACAUACAGACUUAGAUACGAAGAAAUCUAAAGUAUAUUUAAAAACAGUUUGCUUUUUGUUUUUUGAGGAACUAUAUUAUAAAAAACAACAACUGUGGGUUCCCAAGUAAAUACCUGUGGAAAAACUAGAAAUAAUUAAUCAGCAAGUAAGCUGGGAAACCCGCAGAAAAGGGCAACUCAAAGCUAUUCAUAUAUAUUUUUUAAUGUUUAGUGAUUUAGAAAAUAUUCAAAGUUAGGGUAUACUUUUUAUUAACUGAUUAUUUUGUAUUGUUUAGUCAUUCUUGUUUGUUUCAUAUGUUUUCAUAUAUUUCAUGUAUUUUUUGGUCAUUGUUAUCAGAUGGUUAAAAAAUGCAUUUUUUUUUCUCAGCUAGCCCUGGUUAAUUGUUUAAUAGAAUUUAAAAGGAAGUAUUGGCUGGGUGUGGUGGCUCACACCUGUAAUUUCAGCACUUUGGGAGGUGGAGGCAGGUGGAUUACCUGAGGUCAGGAGUUCAAGAUCAGCCUGGCCAACAUGUUGAAACCCCAUCUCUACUAAAAAUAAUAAUAAUAAAAAAUUAGCCAGGCAUGAUGGCAGGUGCCUGCAGUCCCAGCUACUUCGGAGGUUGAGGCAGGAGAAUUGCUUGAACCCGGGAGGCGAAGGUUGCAGUAAGCUGAGAUUGCACCACUGCACUUCAGCCUAAAACAAGAGCAAAACUCUGUCUUAAAUAACAAACACAUAAUUAAAAAAAGAAAGUAUUUUCCUCUCUUAUCCUGUUUGUGAUCUAAUGUCUAUGUCAGCAUUUCCCGGUAAGAAAAAUAAACUUCGUGGAAAUGAAUAGGUAACAAAUUGACUCAUUUUUUUGAAUUAUCAUGUGAGGACAAAAUUCAGAAAUAAAGGACUGAGUUGACCUGUUUAAAUAUGACUAAUUUGGAUUGAAUCAAAGGGAUGUUAUUACCAGACAUCUCUUGGGAGUCUGUGCUCUUGAUAAAAUGUGUGUGAGAAAAGCCAGAAUUCAGAAUGAAACUGGUUCUUUAUAUUAUAGGUCUUUUGAAAAGCGAAAUCAACUAGUUUUAUAGUGAGCCAUAAAAUAAAGGUGAGGUAAUUCACAUUAGUAAAUUUAAACUCGAAUUCUUUAAAAACAUUAUGAGUACAUUGAAACUACCAACUGUAAUGCCUUUGGGCAGGGGCUAAAAUUCUGAAGGCCUCAGUACUCUCAAUAUUCCUCUUGUUUUGAAUGGUUGAAAUAGCUUCUGAUAUUGUAAUUUUAGGUGUGUGAGACUCAUUCCAGCAUGAAGUGUAUGAAA
ensembl:lncRNA